AAGAAUCUGGCCUGCGCCAUCUGGCUGCUUCCAGUGGGUGCCUGCAAGAUUCAAGUGAGAUUCAGGCAUCUUCAGCUAGUCAUAUUGGUUUUGGUUUUAUUUUGUUUUGUUUUCCAACAAAGGAACACUACAUCAACAAUCUUGGGGAUGUGGACACAGAAGAUUCCUGUUCCAAGAAAGUACAAUCAUCUUUCAAAAACUGUAAUUUAUAUGCGUUUUACCACACUAGAUAUUGAAAACCACCCAACUAGGGGGGUAUAAUAUAAUAUAAUAUAGUAUAAUAUAAUCAGCCACUAGUGUAAUAUUGUAUGCCUUUUAAAAAUGUUACUGGAAAGUGUUUUAUGAUCUGUAAGUCAAAUAAUCCAGCCCUACCAUUUUCAUUUUUCCUGAUAUUCCCCCAAAUCUAGGCCCCUUUGUUCCAGUUGGCAUGUAAACUUGUUUUUUUCCACCAAAUGAGUCAGUCAUGAUAGAAGCGUCAAUUGAUUUGAACAGAUGUGUGUCAAUGUUACUUGGAAAAACUAGAUGCCAAUAACCAGGGCCACAGAAAAAGUCAGCAAUUGUAAUUGUGUAAAGCAUUUAUACAUGCAAGCAGACAAGGGCAAAAGUCAAAUCCUAAACAGGAAAACAUUUGAAUAUACUCCAGUGCUGGGAGACCAAAUAAUUGUGUGUUGCUUUUGAUGUCCAUUAACAUGGGCAACUGUCCAAUUAAACAAAAACCCAAUAAGGA
ensembl:lincRNA predicted gene 28730